UACGUAGGGUGCAAGCGUUGUCCGGAAUUAUUGGGUGUAAAGAGCUCGUAGGCGGUUUGUCGCGUCUGCUGUGAAAACGCGAGGCUCAACCUCGCGCCUGCAAUGGGUACGGGCAGACUAGAGUGCGGUAGGGGAGAUUGGAAUUCCUGGUGUAGCGGUGGAAUGCGCAGAUAUCAGGAGGAACACCGAUGGCGAAGGCAGAUCUCUGGGCCGUUACUGACGCUGAGGAGCGAAAGCGUGGGGAGCGAACAGG
rnacentral:rRNA from 1 species